CAUUUCACUGUAAGGUUUACCCCUGUUGUAUUCGGCGCAUGUGACAAAUAAACAUUGAUUUGAUUUUAUUUGAGAGGAACUAUGGCGUUGGUAAUCGGGAUCUUCUUGCAGUCAAGAUGGCACUGGAGGAGUGGAAGCACUGGCUUGAAAGGGCAGAAAACUCAUUCUUAGUUUGGACCGAUCAUAAGAAUCUUGAAUACACCCUUCCCUGCUCGGCCACUGGGCUCUCGCCUUUCGAGUGUUCCCUGGGUUACCAGCCUCCGCUCUUCCCAGAGCAAGAGGAAGAGGUCAGCGUACCUUCAGCACAGAAGUUCGUCCGUCACUGUCGGCAUACCUGGAAGAGAGCCCGGUCCGCUCUUCUUAAGACCACCUCCAGGUAUCAGCGACAGGCGGACCUCCACUGGACCACGGCUCCCCGCUAUAGUCUCGGACAGAGGGUAUGGCUCUCUACUCAGGAUUUGCCCCUCAGAGUGGAGUCCCGUAAACUUUCUCCCUGCUUUAUCGGCCCCUUUCCCAUCUCUAAAAUCAUUAGUCCCAAAGCUGUUCGUCUUCUGUUGCCCCAAACCCUCCCCAUACAUCCCACUUUUCAUGUGUCAAAGAUUAAACCUUUGUCUCACAGCCCUUUGUCUCCUGUUUCCAGGCCCAACCCCCCUCCUCGUCUCAUGGAUGGCCAUCCGGCAUACACGGUGAGACACCUCCAGAGGUUUCCAGUGCCUGGUUGACUGGGAGGGUUACGGUCCGGAAGAGAGGUGCUGGGUCCCCGCUAAGGACUUCCUGGACCUGGCCCCCAUCGCUGACUUUCAACGCCGGCAUCCCGGUCAACCAGUACGAACUGGCCAUGACUGACCCAGUAGACUCGGACCAGCUCCGCAACACUGUCUCCCUGCAUGGAGCCACAAUUGGAAGAAAUGAGGAGCUACUCCAGAACAUUUUGGGCACACUUACUCAUUCAAGAUAAUGCUUUAUAGAAGCCAAAGAAGAAGAAGGCAGAGACAGCGAGCUCAGCCACCAAUGGUGCCGACGCAAAGCCCAAAAAGACCAAGAGCAAGAAGAGUGAUGACCUGUCUGGAGAGGAGAGUCCUGCAGUUCAAAAUGGAAAAAAGGUAAAGAAAAAGAAAGCAGAUGAAGAAAA